AUGGUAGAAGAGAAAAGUAAGAGAACAACCAUUAUCCUAACGUUUAGCAUUUGCUUUAAGAAAUGUGAUGGUCGUGGGGGGCAUGGAAUCAGCAAACCAUCAUGGCAUUAUUUUCCAGAUUUGAAAAGCUCCAAAGGAAGCUGUACCUGUAUGUUGCCAUUUAUUUCAAGUGUUUUCUCUUUUUGUGUAACACCUGUCAUGCCAAAGAAUUUCGCUUGUGUUUGGCAUGUGGAUGAAUCACUUCAGCCACCAAUAAAAUGUACAGCCCUUACAAGUAAAACAGAGCAACUAUCCCAGAAGACCUUGACAAUUUACAGCAGAGCUAAGAGGUGGAUUAUUCCCAAGAAGACAGAAAAAGAAAACUACUUUCUCCCUUCUGGAAGUAUCUGGAUUCAGAUCACAUACAGAGAAGAUGAUGCAAAAUCUGAGACUCUCCCUUCGUGGGGCACAGGAGCAUCUAAACAAAUCAAGAUCCAGGUCUGGAAGAAACCUGGUUGUUGGGUCAGGAGGAAUGAAGCAAGCACUGAGUGAAGACCUUGGCUCUGGAGUCAGAGCUUUCAAAGUCCUGCCAUGUGAUUUACCAGCCAUAUGACCUCAGGUGAUGAAUUAAUGUUUCUGGAGUCCUUAGCAGAGCGCCUGGUACAUAUUAAGAAUGUAACAGUGGGUAGCAAUAAUGAUCAAUGUUAUAUUCUCCACAAAAAUUAUCUUUAUCAUUGUCCUUCCUUAAUAUUGUUGUUAGACUGUGACUAAGGCAUCACCGGGGGUUUGUACACUGUGUGCAGGAAAAGUAACCAAGAAAGAUCAGCCCUAUGAGAUCAUCAAGAAAGACCUAAUGCUCCUCGUUGGACAGACAAGAAAACCCACACUCAGCAGGGUUAGGAGACCUGCUCCAAGUCACGUAGCUAGUAAGGGCAGAGGUGAGAGUCAAACCAGAGUUUCUGAUUCCAAAGCCAGUUCUUUUUCCACUACACUGCAUGGCCUCUGGGUAUUAGCAUUUCCAGGUCCCACAUACUUCCAAAUUUUUAAGGUCAAAUAAGACUCUGGAUACCAAAUAUUCACACUGGGACUACCUGUCCUUUUCUCUCCAUUUGUAGGUAUGUGGGAUUGUGGGUCCAUGGGGCAUUCUGCCCAGGCUUUAGAGCUCUCGGAUGUGCCUCCCUUCCCCAAGCUGUCUUCUCUGCCAAGGGCACAGACUGGCUCCUAUAGAGACUGAAGUACCCUUUCACAGAGUUGCUUCUGUGUCUCUCCCUGAGACUGGGCUGGGAUUGCUAUCUAACUCUUGCACUUCAGAAGUCCAGAGAACCCAAGGCAUUUGUGCUUUGUAGACACAUGCCACAAAAACUGAGCACACUUACCACUUGAAGAAACAUUAGAAUGUGCCAAAUCUCUGAAGUCCAAUUCUUAGUGCAAACUGCCAAAGCC
rnacentral:lncRNA from 1 species